rnacentral:rRNA from 1 species
UACGUAGGGGGCGAGCGUUAUCCGGAAUUACUGGGUGUAAAGGGAGCGUAGACGGUAAUGUAAGUCUGGAGUGAAAGGCGGGGGCCCAACCCCCGGACUGCUCUGGAAACUAUGUUACUAGAGUGCAGGAGAGGUAAGCGGAAUUCCUAGUGUAGCGGUGAAAUGCGUAGAUAUUAGGAGGAACACCAGUGGCGAAGGCGGCUUACUGGACUGUAACUGACGUUGAGGCUCGAAAGCGUGGGGAGCAAACAGG